CCGGGGCAAAUGUUUCACGAUAAUCAAAACCUUCAACCUGACUGUACCCUUUUGCAACUAAGCGAGCCUUGUAGCGCUCAACGGUUCCAUCUGGGUUGAAUUUGAUUUUGUAAAUCCAUUUGCAACCCACUGGAUUCUUGUUUGGAGGCAAAUCUUGGAGAGACCAAGUGUUGUUAUCAUGGAGAGCAGAAAGUUCUUCAUCCAUAGCAAGACGCCACUUUGGAUCCUUGACUGCCUGGUGAAAGGAGGUAGGUUCUUUAACAACUGAUAUGCAAGUGGUGAAAACACGAUGGGCAGCAGAAAGUCUAUCAUAAUUGAGAACUUGAGACAAGGGAUGAGGAAUACCUUUAGGAGCAGCCAACACCGAGUGAGACGACGGUAAGGAACGAGUCGGCAAGGACACUUCUACGUGAUACUGUUGAAGGUAGCUGGGUGCUUGUAUCUUUCGUUUAGGUAUAGGAGCAGGAAGAGGGGUAUUAUGAG
rnacentral:lncRNA from 1 species